rnacentral:lncRNA from 1 species
CCUGUCUCAUGUCAGGGGUCAGCUCGUUUGAUGUUUAAAGCAUUUGGGCCAAUCUAAUCAGGCCGAGCAUAGCCCAUCCGAGCAUGAGCCGCUGCCGCCAUGACGAGGCUGAGCUUGCUCUGAGCUGAUGUUCCCUGACCUGACAGCUUUGGGGCCUUGGGACCAGGCAGGUGCAAAGUACAGAGUCUGGAGUUGAGGGACAGGAGCCUCCUGCUAGCGUGUGUUAGCCGGGAGAAAACCUUGUAUUUGGCAAUGGCGGGGGCCAGUUACCAGCUGUUUAGCGUGAGGGAGACUUGGCUUUCAUUUGGUUCAUUUGGUAACCCUCUUAGUGCACUGAGG